rnacentral:lncRNA from 1 species
CCGGGAUUUCAAUAUACGGAAAAAUUCCACUUAUGCACUCUUGGUAUGGAACUCGAUCGCAUCCAUCUGAGCUAACAGCAGGGUUCUAUAACACAGCCAACCUAGAUGGUUAUGAACAGGUGGCACAGAUGUUUGCUAAAAACUCAUGCAAAAUCAUAUUACCUGGAAUGGACCUUUCAGAUGCAAAUCAACCGAAUGAAACUCAUUCAAGUCCCGAGUUGCUACUUUCGCAAACUAUGACAACUUUCAGAAACCAUGGUGU